rnacentral:rRNA from 1 species
AUUGAACGCUGGCGGAAUGCUUUACACAUGCAAGUCGAGCGGCAGCACGGGGGCAACCCUGGCGGCGAGCGGCGAACGGGUGAGUAAUACAUCGGAGCAUGCCCAGUCGUGGGGGAUAACACUUCGAAAGAAGUGCUAAUACCGCAUACGUCCUGAGGGAGAAAGCGGGGGAUCUUCGGACCUCGCGCGAUUGGAGUGGCCGAUGUCAGAUUAGCUAGUUGGUGGGGUAAAGGCCUACCAAGGCAACGAUCUGUAGCUGGUCUGAGAGGAUGAUCAGCCACACUGGGACUGAGACACGGCCCAGACUCCUACGGGAGGCAGCAGUGGGGAAUUUUGGACAAUGGGGGCAACCCUGAUCCAGCCAUUCCGCGUGAGUGAAGAAGGCCUUCGGGUUGUAAAGCUCUUUCGGCAGGAACGAAGCGGCGAGCUCUAACAUAGCUUGCUAAUGACGGUACCUGAAGAAGAAGCACCGGCUAACUACGUGCCAGCAGCCGCUGUAAAAC